rnacentral:miRNA from 1 species
UGUGAAAGCAGAGAGGCAUUUUU